AGGAGCAUGUCAACCAUGACCAAAAGGAUGAUUUUGAUGCACACAUAUUUGAUGAAAUGCAGAUUGCUAUCUAGGUGUCCAGAUUGAGCCAGGAGAAUCAUUCAGGUUUGAUCAGUUACCAGAAGGUCUACGUGUUACCAGAAUUAGAGUCCUCAAAAUGUGAUAUAUUCAUUCACUAUACGGUCUCGACCCACGGCACGAAGACGACCUUGCCAUCGACAUGAACCAGGCCGUGUCAGAAGAAUAAUGAAGGUACUAAUAGAAUUGUAAAAGAGCCGUGACAAAGGUUCUCCAGGUUGCUGAUGUUUUUCUUUGUGAAAUUUAUCUUUCGGCCAAUCUAUAGUUGACUACUUGCAGUGUUUUCUUUUACCGAUUUAGGUCCAUUGCACUCAGGUUCAGGUUUUAGAUAUACUUAAAUCUGCCGUGGCACUAUUUUUCAUACAGAAGUGAAGAAAGGUUCAUAUUUUAUAUUGCGCCAUUGGACACUGGAAAUGUUUGGUCUUGUGUUGAUUUGGUUGGAAUCCUUGUAGUCAAGUUUAUUCCGAUGUACAAAAUAUAAGGAACAAAGGUAGGUCAAGGUAAGUCAGCUCAAAAGCUUUGU